GACGAACGCUGGCGGCGUGCUUAACACAUGCAAGUCGAACGGAAAGGCCCUGCGUUUGUGGGGUGCUCGGGUGGCGAUCGCGUGCGUAACACGUGAGUAUCCUGCCCUUGACUUUGGGAUAACUUCACGUAGCUGGGGCUACUACCGGAUAGGAGCUCCUCCUCCAUGGUGGGGGGUGGAAAUUUUCGGCGUUCGGGGAUGGACUCGCGGCUUAUCAGCUUGUUGGUUGGGUAGUUGCUUACCCAGCCUGUGACGGGUAGCCCGCCUGAGAGGGUGACCGGCGACAUGGGGACUGAGAGACGGCCCAGACUCCUACGGGAGGCAGCAGGGGGGAAUAUUGCACAAUGGGAGGAAGCCUGAUGCAGCAGCGCCGCGGGCGGGAUGACGGCCUGCGGGUAGUAAACCGCUGUCGCCUGAGACGAAGCGGGAGUGACGGUAAUGGGUAAAGAAGCACCGGCUAACUACGUG
rnacentral:rRNA from 1 species